GACAUGAACGGGGACCACUUUCAGCAUCUGUUGUAACUUGUGGGUAAGGGAAUAAAAACAAUCCACUUGCUUGUUUAUCUGCACUGCAAGCUGG